rnacentral:lncRNA from 1 species
AUGGAGGAGGCCCGCACCGCCGGGCCCGGGUUGGGCCAGCCCGCCGGCUCGCCUGAACACACAGCCGCGGCCUCGCACCGCAACCCGGCCUCCCCGCUCCUCCACCAGGCCCGGCCCAGCUGCCUUCCAUCCCCAUCCGGGACCGCCGGCCCUCCCCCGGCCGCCCAGCUNNNNNNNNNNCGGCGGCGGGCGCGCUGCCUCGCGGAGCCCUGGGCCCCGGGAGGCGAGCGGCAGGCGGGGGAUCGGCGGCGGGGCACGGAUGGCAGCGGAUGGCGAGGGAUACACCGCAGCCCCGCACUCACCCGCGUCUCUGCUCCGGCGGCCGCCGCUGGAAAGGAAGCGGUAGGGGUCAGGGGGCGGAGGUCACCGCCGCUCACCCGGAAGUGGUGGCGGGAGGCGGCCGAGUGCCACGGCGGGGAGGAAGCGGCGUUUCCCCGGUCGCCAGGGCAGGACUCUGCCUCGAUCUCGACCCCGAUCCCGCCGCGCCGGUCGCCGCCGAGAAACCGCGAGCGACACUACCGAGGUCCUGGAGUGCCUGCAAGGGAACUGCCUGCCUUGCAAAAUGUUCCUGGGGCUCGAAUGCCAGCUCCGGCCAAGUUGUCCCAGCUUCCGAGGACAGCGCUGAGGACCUUCCUGGGCUGGGAUGGGCGAGAAGGGAGACACCAGGCAGGGUCUGCAAGGAUUGUGUUCUCCAGCCUGGCCAGGAAGGGUGCUCAGGCCACAGCGGGGUCAGUGCCAGAGACGAUGUGUAUUUGCUUUGAGAAAUCCCCCAGAUUUAGUUCCUUAUUGGGUAAUUAACAUUCCAGCUGCUCCUUGGUAAUAGCCUCUCCAGCCCAUGGGAAACCCACAGGCAGAGUGACGCUGCAGGCGGAUUUCAUAACUCAGCCGGUGACUAAACAAAAAAAGAAGCCCGAGAGCCAAGGCAAAUGGAAAUGCUGCUCUUGACCUCUUCUCCCGCCUGGAAUUUGGCCCUGGUGUACACUGGUCCUGCCUGAGAGGGGUCAGUGGGAAGCAACUGGCCUGACCUGUGAAGCCCUCAGCUCUGGGUUCCCCGCAAGGAGGAAUUUUUGGUGCUCGGAUGUCACUGCUUCCGUGGCUGCAUCUCGUUCCCACCAGCCACCGGUCCAGUGGCCUUACUGGUGGCCUUGAAACAGAGAUUGGAGCUGGAAGAGGCCAAAACUCUCCCUGGAGGCUGAACUUUCGCCUUCUGCCUGGUUCGGAGCAGCAUCUGCGGCCGGGGGCUCUUACAGUGCUGGUGGGCAACAUCUCUGGGCCCCUCAAAGCAGCAUCUUUCCUCUAACAGCCCCAGCAAAGAGAAAUUCAGGACCCCAAAUGCCAUCAUUCACAGGUAGAAAAAAAAUAAAUGUGGAGGAAUGGCUGUGUGAAAAGGGGCA